GGGCCGGCCCAUUAUAUAAAAUGCCAUUAGGUUUAUUCAUACUUGCCAGCCCGGUUUUAUUGAUAAUUACGAAAAUGCCAUUAGGGUUCUAACUCUAUAUGUUUCCCAAAGCUCGUCACCGUACACAGUUGUCGGCGCCGCGACACAGGACGAAGGGAGAAGGGGAGUAGCAGCGAACGAUUGCGGGGACGGAAUGAGGGCAAAGUGGAAGAAGAAGCGCAUGAGGAGGCUCAAGAGGAAGCGCCGAAAGAUGAGGCAGAGAUCUAAGUAGGGCCGCGAUGGUGGUCGUCAAGCUUCAUCACCACAUUCCCAAUAUCUGAGAUUCUGGUUCAGCUUCCAUUCUCCACAUAUUUCGGAUGUGCAUUGGUGAAAGUGAACUUUAAGUAGUGUUUUCUAGUCGUUUAACGUUGUAGGAACUAAGUGCUCUGCUUUCGAUGUUUUCUUCAUGAUUUUGUGUUAUUUAAACUUUUUGAGAUGCUUAACGUUUUGCAGUUUGAAUAAAUUAUCAUCAAUUUCAGAUUA